GCGUAGUGCAUCAUUCUAGUAUAAGGUAAAAACUGAAAAGAAAAAAGAAACAACCUUUACAAUAUGAUCAAAACAUCAUAAAAGCAUUCAUAAAAUGUUUCUCUAAUCAAAAAUACAAAAAUGAAAUAUUAAUCAAAAGUGUCCCAAAUGGCGUGACAUACAUACUACAAGUAGUGACAAAUACAUCAAUGUAACGAAUGGCGUUCCAUAGAUUUACAAUUUGCCGGGAGUUUCAUACACACCUCACAACUCAAAAAUUUAACUUUACAAUAGGAAUAUCAAAUAAAAAUCAUUUACGGGAGUAGAAUAAAAUAUGUUUGACAAUAUUAUCAAUAUAAAAAACUUACCACGUUAAGAGACAGUGAGGAAAUAAAAAGAAAUUGUAGUGAAAAUGCUUUCAAAACAAUACAGGAAGUGAUGAGAUGUUACAAAAAAAUAGAGUCAUAUACGGUAUAUAAAUUAAGGAAUUCCGGAUACAGAACACUCCCCGUCUGAUAUACACAGAUAUCAUUCUAAAUAAAAACACAACAAACAACAUAUUUACUAAUUAGUCAUCUGCUGAAUCAAAAAUAUAACUUGU
rnacentral:lncRNA from 1 species